CCUACGGGAGGCAGCAGUGGGGAAUUUUGGACAAUGGGCGCAAGCCUGAUCCAGCAAUGCCGCGUGCAGGAUGAAGGCCUUCGGGUUGUAAACUGCUUUUGUACGGAACGAAAAGGUCUGCCUUAAUACGGUGGGCCCAUGACGGUACCGUAAGAAUAAGCACCGGCUAACUACGUGCCAGCAGCCGCGGUAAUACGUAGGGUGCGAGCGUUAAUCGGAAUUACUGGGCGUAAAGCGUGCGCAGGCGGUUAUAUAAGACAGAUGUGAAAUCCCCGGGCUCAACCUGGGACCUGCAUUUGUGACUGUAUAGCUAGAGUACGGUAGAGGGGGAUGGAAUUCCGCGUGUAGCAGUGAAAUGCGUAGAUAUGCGGAGGAACACCGAUGGCGAAGGCAAUCCCCUGGACCUGUACUGACGCUCAUGCACGAAAGCGUGGGGAGCAAACAGGAUUAGAUACCCUGGUAGUCCACGCCCUAAACGAUGUCAACUGGUUGUUGGGUCUUCACUGACUCAGUAACGAAGCUAACGCGUGAAGUUGACCGCCGNGGGUAAGGUACGGCCGCGAGUAGUUAACGUUACGAAGAAGUUAGACGGCGNGAGACGCGCCGACGGACGACGACGAGGGAGGAGG
rnacentral:rRNA from 1 species